GGCUGUGUUUAUAAAUGUCAGUUUGACGGCCGACUGUUAAAUUAUCAUAUCUAUCUUCUGUUGAAUUUUCUUAUUCACCUUUUUCCUCAUUAUUGCGUUACUUUGCAUAAAAUCAAAGCAAACCUCUUUUAAACAGUAAUACUUGAAAAAAAGUACAUCCAGUUAGUAACUUAACGUGAACUUGGAAGAGAAAUAAAAUGUAUAUCAUUAAAAUCCUCCCUCUACUUCUUGUUGUUGCUCAUCUUUCCAUGUCACAGCAACUUUGCCCAUACAAGUUGCCAUGUGACGUCAAGAAUUGUCCACCACCGAACUGUGCAAGUGAUGAAUAUCCAGUACUAGGUUUUGGUUGCAACUGUUGCCCUUAUUGCCAGAAACGUUCGGGUGAAAAUAACGCAGUGCCAAUUGGAUUAUAAAGAAAUAUUUCAAGAUCAUUAUAGCUUUCUGGCAUUCAAUACAAUAAUUUACAGAAAUUAGUUACUUACUACAUUUUGAAGAAGCUUUUAGAAAAUCAUUGAAAGAAUAUAUUUUUGUGUUUAAUGGCAUUAAAAAUUUACAAUAUAUAAUGUA